UACGUAGGUGGCAAGCGUUGUCCGGAAUUAUUGGGCGUAAAGAGCUCGUAGGCGGUCUGUCGCGUCGGCUGUGAAAAACUCGGGGGCUCAACCCCCGAGCCUGCAGUCGAUACGGGCAGACUAGAGUUCGGUAGGGGAGACUGGAAUUCCUGGUGUAGCGGUGAAAUGCGCAGAUAUCAGGAGGAACACCGAUGGCGAAGGCAGGUCUCUGGGCCGAUACUGACGCUGAGGAGCGAAAGCGUGGGGAGCGAACAGG
rnacentral:rRNA from 1 species